rnacentral:lncRNA from 1 species
CUUUUUCACUCUUUCUCUCCCCCAACACCUCUCUCUCCUCCCUCUCUCUCUUCACAUUUCGGCGUGAGAAAUUGCUAAAGAAGAAAACUGUUCUGCAGCUGAGGUCUUCUGCAUCCUGAGAUCUCUAUAUCGAGUCAUUUGAGUAGGUGCGCGCAUCCGCGUCAGCGAGUCGUGACUAGUCGAUCCUACAACGACAACCUUUUCUACUUCUGGAUCGUGCUUUGAGAACUACUGUUGCUUCAGAAGCACUGGUCCGCUCUUCACUAGCCAUUCUGUUAGUGAGGUCCCAGAAGUUGAACUGAACAGCCUCUCGUGACCGUAUAUAGGAAGGAGCGAAUAGAGUACAGAGCUGCCAGUGAUUUGCAUUCAAUCCUUUUAGACUUCAGGGCCAAAGUAAUGGUCUUUCAUAAGAUUGAAUUGAGCCUUUCGACCUGGCUAUUCGCCACUGGAUUGUAUUGGGGUCGACCUGCUGGUCAAUAUGACUUUAUCAUGGAGGAAUUGUCUCAGUUCAUCUGAUAUGAAGGUAGCGCUACGAUCAAAAUGGAUGAAAGAAGGGAGUCCAAACAUCGAAAAUAGUUGGCAGAGGCAAUGAAUUACGAUAGCUGCUGAUAUACCCGAACAUGCGAACGGAAAGUGAGAAAAUUCAUCGAUAAUUGUGAGUAGAUAUUUGUUGAGAUUAAUGGAUGGGAGUGGACCCUUGAAUUCUACACUUAAUUUCACGAAUGGUUGAAUGGCCUUCGCAAGUUUGGUUGUCGGUGGUCGUCUGAUAGACUCUCCCAUCGAAGAGGACGUGAGCGUUCAGCCUUUGCCGAACGACCUGCACAAAUGAUUUGUUUAUAGUAAUCAAAUGUUCGUGCUGCACAUUAGCUCACUAUCUCCUUCAAAUCGGUGUUGUCUAAAGAGGUGCACGGUGUUACCACGCGUCAGGUGCCAAAGUGACUGCAGAACAACGGGAUAUAUAUAUAUAGAUAGACAGGUAGACAGAUAGAUAGAUAGAUAGAUAGGCAGAUAGAUAGACAGACAGAUAGAUAGAUAGAUAGAUCGGGGGGGGUGUACUUUCAGUUUCUAGACCGAGUGUAAUUAUGAAGGCAGAAGAAAGGAAAGGUGUGUGUGAUAAACAGAAUUGAAAUCUUUAACUUUUAAGAAUUUUCAAUGAGCUACUUUACUUGGGAUUGUGUUAAAAGUAAGAAUAAAUACAUCUUACCUUAUCUUCUAGCGAGGGAUAAGGAAAAGAAACUUACGCUGAGACUGGCUUAAAAUCCAACGGGAAUUACUAUUACUAUAAAAGAACGUGUUACCAGAGAACAAUUUCGUUUUUGCGAUAUCAAUGUUUAAAGACACCGGACAUAGCACAUUCAAGUCAAAAAUACUUUCAUGUAAUAAACUUUGACAUAUAAUUUACUGUGAAGAAUAAAAAAUUUUCUCGAUA